rnacentral:rRNA from 2 species
UAUCGCCGAAAGAUCGGCCCGCGUCUGAUUAGCUAGUUGGUGAGGUAAAGGCUCACCAAGGCUACGAUCAGUAGCUGGUCUGAGAGGAUGAUCAGCCACACUGGGACUGAGACACGGCCCAGACUCCUACGGGAGGCAGCAGUAGGGAAUCUUCCACAAUGGACGAAAGUCUGAUGGAGCAACGCCGCGUGAGUGAUGAAGGUUUUCGGAUCGUAAAACUCUGUUGUAAGGGAAGAACAAGCGUGAGAGGGAAUGCUCACGCCUUGACGGUACCUUGCGAGAAAGCCACGGCUAACUACGUGCCAGCAGCCGCGGUAAUACGUAGGUGGCAAGCGUUGUCCGGAAUUAUUGGGCGUAAAGCGCGCGCAGGCGGCCUCUUAAGUCUGAUGUGAAAGCCCCCGGCUCAACCGGGGAGGGCCAUUGGAAACUGGGAGGCUUGAGUACAGAAGAGAAGAGUGGAAUUCC